rnacentral:lncRNA from 1 species
AGACUUCUAUUGCGAUAAUUUUUUCAUGUUGUAGAAAAACCAAUUUUGUAAAUGGAUCCCAGAUGCUUCUCCUUAUUAAUGCAUGAGAUUUAGUCAAAUCAUAUUGGUAGAAUAACUGAUGGACCUUCCCAUUCUUUUAUCUGUGCAAUUUCUUUGUCUCAUGAGUGAGCCAGGAGAACUGGAGAAAUUAAAUGAUGGGUUUUUAUUUAAUUAGUAGUAAAAAUAUGGAGUACCCAAUUCCAUGCCAUCUUGCUUAAAAAAUCUGUUUCCAAGAACAAGAAUCAUUUAAUCCCCAUGGCAAUACUAAUUAUUCUGUUUUAAGUCUGUCAAAGAAAGUAUGAAAUCCAAUGAAAAAGAUGAAAACUGUGUCAAACGCUUGCACUAAGAAUUACUCGUUGCUACAUAGAGGAGCUUCCUACAUGCAUGUGAGG